rnacentral:RNase_P_RNA from 1 species
GAAGCGCGCCGGACCGCCGCUGGUGCAAGUCCCGAAAGGGCGCACUGGAGGAAAGUCCGGACUGCACAGGACAGCGCAGGAGUUAACGACUCUCCACCGCGAGGUGAGGAUCAGAGCAACAGAGACGAGUCGGCCGGGGCAACCCGGCCGGGUGAAACGGGCAAUCUCUGCGCGCAGCAACACCAAGUAGGCCAGCCGGGAGUGGCGCGGUUCGCCGCGACUCUCCACCUUGUGGUUCCGCAGGGAGAGCUGGCGGGUAGGUGGCACCGAGCCGUCUGGCGACAGACGGCCCAGAGUAAUGGCGGUUACGUCGGGGGAAACCUCGACGCACAGAAUCCGGCUUACAGGCGCGCUUCACAC